ACCCGAUAAGAAUUCGUACUCUAACAAGAAUUCUAUGCGUUAGAGCGAGCAAGUUAGAAACAUCAGAGUUUUGAUGACAGUAUACAUACUGUGAAGAAAUGUCACUACGAAAACUUUGAAGAUUGCAAAAAAGCAGCGACUUAGUCACAUUCUUAAGAUUCACUAUCAGCACCUUCAACGCUUGCAUCUUCAUCGCCAGGAGCACCAUUAGAACCUUCUGCCCUCAGCUUCUUCAUCGCCAGGAGCACCACCAGUACCCUCUACCCUCAGCUCCUUCAUCGCCAGGAGCACCAUGAGUACCUUCCGCCCUCAGCACUUUCAACGCCAGGAGCACCUUCAAAGUGUAGGUCCAA